rnacentral:lncRNA from 1 species
AAAUAACAUAUAUAUAAAAAAGGUUUUUCCAUCCUUAAGUUCAUUCUAGAUUACAUGUAUACAACUAAAGAAUGUGGCUCAGCAAUUCCAUAAUAUUUCUCACAGCCACUUUAUUCUAUCACCAACAUUUGGAAAAGAAAAUAGUAAAGAUUACUGCUGUUUUCAGAAAAAUGGCAUGUCAUCAAUCAAGAUCCUUUCUUUAUGAAAGUAAUUGGCACCCCAAAUUAUUACUCCACUACUCCUUGCUCCUCUUCUUUGUCUCUUAGCCCUUUCUUCUUGCUAUCUGCACAUUGUAUAAACCUGAAAUAUAAACUUUAAUUUCAUAAAAGAAAUUAUACGACAGUUAAUUAGUUCUGACUUUUUUAAGAGUCAAAUUAAAGGAAAAAAAGAAAAUGUAACAGCAAAAAUGAGACAAGUGAUAAAAGGGUGGUUCUUUAACUGAAUGGAUUUGGAGUUAGGUGGUGGAGGGCUGUGAAAAUAAAAAGGAAAAUAUGGUACAAUUGGAUUUGGGGGUGGUGGGGUGGGGUAUCCAGGAUUAUUGGUCGGUGGACGAUAGUUUCCUCCACCAUUGCCGCCGCCACUGCCACCGUCACCGUCAUUGUUAGGCGGUGACACAUAAGCCGAUGGCGGCGGUGGACAAAUAUAGCCUGAAGAUGAGGGUGGAGGAAGAGUUGGUGGGGGUGGGGGUGGAAAGAUUUGAGGGGGAGGGGGUGGCGGGGAUAAAAUUGGCUGGCAUGGGUUGUCACAAGAAGAGCACAUUGUGCAAGAAAUUUGGUCUUUGGCCAUUGCUGUAAUUGUUGACAUGGCUUGAGAAUUUUUGUUAAGUGAAAGGAAGAGGAGAGUGAAAAUGCAGAAAAUGAAUGGAGUAUGUGAGGGAAUACUCCACAUUUUCAGAAAGUUGUGGACUUGGGAUUUUUAGCUCAAAUAAGAGAGAAGGGAGAAAGAGAUAGGGAUAUACAGAGAAAGUAGAAGGAGAGGAGGAAGAGAAGUGUAGGUUAUGGCACUAUAAAGUGAAGAGGUGAAGGGGUGAGCAAAAACAAAUCUAUACCUUAAAAGCUGUGGGGGUGCAUGAGUGGGUGGAAGAGAAU